GAGUGACUCAGGCAAACGAGUCACGGUACACAGCUCAGUAACACGUGGCUAAUCUGCCCUUGAGACGAGAACAACCCCGGGAAACUGGGGCUAACUCUCGAUAGGCGAAGAACUCUGGAAUGAGUCUUCACCCAAAAAACUUCACGUUAUCCUCGUGAAGUCGCUCAAGGAUGAGGCCGCGACCGAUCAGGUUGUUGGCGAGGUAACGGCUCACCAAGCCUUUUACCGGUGCGGGCCGUGGGAGCGGGAGCCCGGAGAUGGGUACUGAGACAAGGACCCAGGCCCUACGGGGCGCAGCAGUCGCGAAAACUUUGCAAUAAGCGCAAGCUUGACAGGGCUAUCCCGAGUGCCAUCCGCUGAGGAAGGCUUUUACCCAGUCUAGAACGCUGGGGGAAUAAGGAGAGGGCAAGUCUGGUGUCAGCCGCCGCGGUAAUACCAGCUCUCCGAGUGGUGUGGAUGUUUAUUGGGCCUAAAGCAUCCGUAGCUGGCUAAGUUAGUCCCCUGUUAAAUCCACCGAAUUAAUCGUUGGAUUGCGGGGGAUACUGCUUG
rnacentral:rRNA from 1 species